AUGAACGCUGGCGGCGUGCCUAAUACAUGCAAGUCGCGCGAACAGACGAGGAGCUUGCUCCUCUGACGUUGGCGGCGGACGGGUGAGUAACACGUGGAUAACCUACCUAUAAGACUGGGAUAACUUCGGGAAACCGGAGCUAAUACCGGAUAAUAUAUUGAACCGCAUGGUUCAAUAGUGAAAGACGGUUUUGCUGUCACUUAUAGAUGGAUCCGCGCCGCAUUAGCUAGUUGGUAAGGUAACGGCUUACCAAGGCAACGAUGCGUAGCCGACCUGAGAGGGUGAUCGGCCACACUGGAACUGAGACACGGUCCAGACUCCUACGGGAGGCAGCAGUAGGGAAUCUUCCGCAAAGGGCGAAAGCCUGACGGAGCAACGCCGCGUGAGUGAUGAAGGUCUUCGGAUCGUAAAACUCUGUUAUUAGGGAAGAACAAAUGUGUAAGUAACUAUGCACGUCUUGACGGUACCUAAUCAGAAAGCCACGGCUAACUACGUG
rnacentral:rRNA from 1 species